rnacentral:rRNA from 1 species
AGUGAACGCUGGCGGUAGGCCUAACACAUGCAAGUCGAACGGCAGCACAGGAGAGCUUGCUCUCUGGGUGGCGAGUGGCGGACGGGUGAGGAAUACAUCGGAAUCUACUCUGUCGUGGGGGAUAACGUAGGGACACUUACGCUAAUACCGCAUACGACCUACGGGUGAAAGCAGGGGAUCUUCGGACCUUGCGCGAUUGAAUGAGUCGGUGUCGGAUUAGCUAGUUGGCGGGGUAAAGGCCCACCAAGGCGACGAUCCGUAGCUGGUCUGAGAGGAUGAUCAGCCACACUGGAACUGAGACACGGUCCAGACUCCUACGGGAGGCAGCAGUGGGGAAUAUUGGACAAUGGGCGCAAGCCUGAUCCAGCCAUACCGCGUGGGUGAAGAAGGCCUUCGGGUUGUAAAGCCCUUUUGUUGGGAAAGAAAUCCAGCUGGCUAAUACCCGGUUGGGAUGACGGUACCCAAAGAAUAAGCACCGGCUAACUUCGUGCCAGCCGCCGCAGUAA